rnacentral:rRNA from 1 species
GAGGGUUGAUAGGUUAAGAGCUGAUGAACUGGACGUUACCCACAGAAGAAGCACCGGCUAACUCCGUGCCAGCAGCCGCGGUAAUACGGAGGGUGCGAGCGUUAAUCGGAAUUACUGGGCGUAAAGGGUGCGUAGGUGGUUUAAUAAGUUAGCUGUGAAAUCCCUGGGCUUAACCUGGGCAGGUCAGAUAAAACUGCAUAGCUCGAGUAUGGGAGAGGGUAGUGGAAUUUCCGGUGUAGCGGUGAAAUGCGUAGAGAUCGGAAGGAACACCAGUGGCGAAGGCGGCUACCUGGCCCAAUACUGACACUGAGGCACGAAAGCGUGGGGAGCAAACAGGAUUAGAUACCCUGGUAGUCCACGCUGUAAACGAUGUCAACUAGCUGUUGGUUAUAUGAAUAUAAUGAGUGGCGCAGCAAACGCGAUAAGUUGACCA